UAGGGAAUCUUCGGCAAUGGACGAAAGUCUGACCGAGCAACGCCGCGUGAGUGAAGAAGGUUUUCGGAUCGUAAAACUCCGUUGUUAGAGAAGAACAAGGACGUUAGUAACUGAACGUCCCCUGACGGUAUCUAACCAGAAAGCCACGGCUAACUACGUGCCAGCAGCCGCGGUAAUACGUAGGUGGCAAGCGUUUUCCGGAUUUAUUGGGCGUAAAGCGAGCGCGGGCGGUUUCUUAAGUCGGAUGUGAAAGCCCCCGGCUCAACCGGGGAGGGUCAUUGGAAACUGGGAGACUUGAAUGCAGAAGAGGAGAGUGGAAUUCCAUGUGUAGCGGUGAAAUGCGUAGAUAUAUGGAGGAACACCAGUGGCGAAGACGGCUAUCUGGUCUGUAACUAACGCUGAGGCUCGAAAGCGUGGGAAGCAAACGGG
rnacentral:rRNA from 1 species